rnacentral:rRNA from 1 species
GACGAACGCUGGCGGCGUGCUUAACACAUGCAAGUCGAACGUGAUUUUUGUGGAAAUUCUUUCGGGAAUGGAAAUGAAAUGAAAGUGGCGAACGGGUGAGUAACACGUGAGCAACCUACCUUACACAGGGGGAUAGCCGUUGGAAACGACGAUUAAUACCGCAUGAGACCACAGAAUCGCAUGAUAUAGGGGUCAAAGAUUUAUCGGUGUAAGAAGGGCUCGCGUCUGAUUAGCUAGUUGGAAGGGUAAAGGCCUACCAAGGCGACGAUCAGUAGCCGGUCUGAGAGGAUGAACGGCCACAUUGGAACUGAGACACGGUCCAAACUCCUACGGGAGGCAGCAGUGGGGAAUAUUGCACAAUGGGGGGAACCCUGAUGCAGCGACGCCGCGUGAGCGAAGAAGGUUUUCGAAUCGUAAAGCUCUGUCCUAUGAGAAGAUAAUGACGGUAUCAUAGGAGGAAGCCCCGGCUAAAUACGUGCCAGCAGCCGCGGUAAUACGUAUGGGGCGAGCGUUGUCCGGAAUUAUUGGGCGUAAAGGGUACGUAGGCGGUUUUUUAAGUCAGGUGUGAAAGCGUGAGGCUUAACCUCAUUAAGCACUUGAAACUGGAAGACUUGAGUGAAGGAGAGGAAGGUGGAAUUCCUAGUGUAGCGGUGAAAUGCGUAGAUAUUAGGAGGAAUACCGGUGGCGAAGGCGACUUUCUGGACUUUUACUGACGCUCAGGUACGAAAGCGUGGGGAGCAAACAGG